rfam:Gossypium raimondii Chr11_contig_1152, whole genome shotgun sequence.
UGUUGAAAAUCUAUUUAUACUAUUAAAAGCUCUUGUGGCUGACAAAGUAACUAAAAAGUUACACGUGGCAUGCCAUGUGUACCUCAUUUUGGUGUACAAGGACCAAUUUUUAACAGUAAGAAUAGAUAGAAUUUUUAACA